AGCAGUCGCCACGGUAAUACGUAGGUCCCGAGCGUUGUCCGGAUUUAUUGGGCGUAAAGCGAGCGCAGGCGGUUAGAUAAGUCUGAAGUUAAAGGCUGUGGCUUAACCAUAGUACGCUUUGGAAACUGUUUAACUUGAGUGCAAGAGGGGAGAGUGGAAUUCCAUGUGUAGCGGUGAAAUGCGUAGAUAUAUGGAGGAACACCGGUGGCGAAAGCGGCUCUCUGGUCUGUAACUGACGCUGAGGCUCGAAAGCGUGGGGAGCAAACAGGAUUAGAUACCCCGGUAGUCCCUGUCUCUUAUACA
rnacentral:rRNA from 1 species